AGUGAACGCUGGCGGUAGGCCUAACACAUGCAAGUCGAACGGCAGCACAGUAAGAGCUUGCUCUUACGGGUGGCGAGUGGCGGACGGGUGAGGAAUACAUCGGAAUCUACUUUUUCGUGGGGGAUAACGUAGGGAAACUUACGCUAAUACCGCAUACGACCUACGGGUGAAAGCAGGGGAUCUUCGGACCUUGCGCGAUUGAAUGAGCCGAUGUCGGAUUAGCUAGUUGGGGGGGUAAAGGCCCACCAAGGCGACGAUCCGUAGCUGGUCUGAGAGGAUGAUCAGCCACACUGGAACUGAGACACGGUCCAGACUCCUACGGGAGGCAGCAGUGGGGAAUAUUGGACAAUGGGCGCAAGCCUGAUCCAGCCAUACCGCGUGGGUGAAGAAGGCCUUCGGGUUGUAAAGCCCUUUUGUUGGGAAAGAAAAGCAGCAGGUUAAUACCCCGCUGUUCUGACGUUACCCAAAGAAUAAGCACCGGCUAACUUCGUG
rnacentral:rRNA from 1 species